UUGGCCCUGAAUCAAGACCAACAGUUUAUUGGAAUUGUUGGUUUCAAACAGGAGCCUAAAGAAAUGUCACCCUACUGUCUUCUGGCCGUUUCAGAACAUUAUAGAGAAUGGUCAGUUCAUUAGGAAGAAACACUU
ensembl:snoRNA